rnacentral:rRNA from 1 species
AUUGAACGCUGGCGGCAUGCCUUACACAUGCAAGUCGAACGGCAGCACGGGGCAACCUGGUGGCGAGUGGCGAACGGGUGAGUAAUGCAUCGGAACGUACCUUUCAGUGGGGGAUAACGUAGCGAAAGUUACGCUAAUACACCAUAUUCUGUGAGCAGGAAAGCAGGGGAUCGCAAGACCUUGCGCUGAUUGAGCGGCCGAUGUCAGAUUAGCUAGUUGGUGAGGUAAAGGCUCACCAAGGUGACGAUCUGUAGCGGGUCUGAGAGGAUGAUCCGCCACGCUGGAACUGGGACACGGGCCAGACUCCUACGGGAGGCAGCAGUGGGGAAUUUUGGACCAUGGGGGCAACCCUGAUCCAGCCAUGCCGCGUGAGUGAAGAAGGCCUUCGGAUUGUAAAGCUCUUUCGGCCGGGAAGAAAUCGCACGGGCUAAUACCCUGUGUGGAUGACGGUACCGGAAUAAGAAGCACCGGCUAACUACGUGCCAGCCGCCGCCGUAACAC